rnacentral:rRNA from 1 species
AUUGAACGCUGGCGGCAUGCUUUACACAUGCAAGUCGAACGGCAGCGGGGAGGAGCUUGCUUCUCUGCCGGCGAGUGGCGCACGGGUGAGUAAUACAUCGGAACGUGUCGAGAAGAGGGGGAUAACCACCCGAAAGGGUGGCUAAUACCGCAUAAAUUCUGAGGAAGAAAGCUGGGGACCUAGGAAUAGGCCUAGCGCUUUUUGAGCGGCCGAUGUCGGAUUAGCUAGUUGGUGAGGUAAAGGCUCACCAAGGCGAAGAUCUGUAGCGGGUCUGAGAGGAUGAUCCGCCACACUGGGACUGAGACACGGCCCAGACUCCUACGGGAGGCAGCAGUGGGGAAUUUUGGACAAUGGGGGCAACCCUGAUCCAGCCAUGCCGCGUGUAUGAAGAAGGCCUUAGGGUUGUAAAGUACUUUUGUUAGGGAAGAAAAGUCAGCUGUGAAUAAUGGCUGAUACAGACGGUACCUAAAGAAUAAGCACCGGCUAACUACGUG